rnacentral:lncRNA from 1 species
UCGAUAUUGAAUUCAACCACAGCCCUGGUUUGCCAUUCCCAGGCCAUAAAGCAACGUUGUUGUUGCCCACGAAUUCGAGCCUACCAUCGAAGUUUUCAAACAGAACAUCCUGGAAUCCAUAAAGCUGGUCACUGAAAUCUGCCAUGGUCAUCAUGAGGAAAAUAGCGAACACCCUUCGAGACACCAACACGUCCUCGCCGGUCUUUAUGUGCUUCACUGUAAGCCCAUUUUCAGGCACCAGUCCGCGUAUCUUAUUCCUCCAAGCGUCGUCUUCAUUAAAAACGCCCUUUUCUUUGGCGUUCUUCAACGAAACCUCGGAGGCCGCAAGGUGUUCGACGAUUUCCGAAUCCGUAUAUUUGAACAAAAGGUCAUCGUGGAUCAAAGGUUGCCUAGGGACGACGCAGAACAAAUGGAUUAAACGCUCUGCGGCGUCGCCGACGUGGCCUCGAACGACGUCGCGGCCGGUUGAAG